UUCAAAGCAGAUUUUGUGAAAAUGUAAUACAAGCUUCAGCAAAUGGGACUCAAAUGCUGUGCUUCCUAUGAACAACUCAGCUUUUUAAGCUGGGGCUGGGAGCCAGAGGGAGCUUCAGCAGGGCCUGAAGCAGGGCGCCAGGAAUGGAGCCUGCUCUGCAUGAAGGCUUCACUCUGCACAUCUGCUUCUCCUCCUCCUCUGCUCACUGGCUUCCUUGCUUUCUCUCC
rnacentral:lncRNA from 1 species